AUUGAACGCUGGCGGCAGGCCUAACAAAUGCAAGUCGCGCGGAGCGGCGGACGGGUGAGUAAGGCCUAGGAAUCUGCCUGGUAGUGGGGGAUAACGUCCGGAAACGGGCGCUAAUACCGCAUACUAUCAGAUAAGCCUAGGUCUGAGUAGCUAGUUGGUGGGGUAAAGGCCUACCAAGGCGACCAUCCGUAACUGGUCUGGGAGGAGGAUCAGUAACACUGGAAGUGAGACCGGGUCAAGAGUCGUACGGUAGGCAGCAGUGGGGAAUAUUGGACAAGGGGCGAAGGCCUGCUCCAGCCAUGCCGCGGGUGUGAAGCAGGUCUUCGGAUUGUAACGCACUCUAAGUUGGGAGGCGUUACCAACAGAAUAAGCACCGGCUAACUUCGUGCCAGCAGCCGCGGUAAUAC
rnacentral:rRNA from 1 species